rnacentral:lncRNA from 1 species
CUUGGCCAUAGGACUCUUUAGGGGAUGGGUGAACUACUCAAGAAGAGAAUGCCUGGCAAGAUCUGGCCAGAGAUAUUUCCCUAUACAUGGAAAAGAAGAAGGCUCGAUCCCUGAAGACACAUAAACAUAAAGAAGAAUCAGAA